rnacentral:rRNA from 1 species
AACGAACGCUGGCGGCAUGCCUAACACAUGCAAGUCGAACGAGAUCUUCGGGUCUAGUGGCGCACGGGUGCGUAACGCGUGGGAAUCUGCCCUUUGGUUCGGAAUAACAGUUGGAAACGACUGCUAAUACCGGAUGAUGACGAAAGUCCAAAGAUUUAUCGCCAGAGGAUGAGCCCGCGUAGGAUUAGCUAGUUGGUGUGGUAAAGGCGCACCAAGGCGACGAUCCUUAGCUGGUCUGAGAGGAUGAUCAGCCACACUGGGACCGAGACACGGCCCAGACUCCUACGGGAGGCAGCAGUGGGGAAUAUUGGACAAUGGGCGAAAGCCUGAUCCAGCAGUGCCGCGUGAGUGAUGAAGGCCUUAGGGUUGUAAAGCUCUUUUACCCGGGAUGAUAAUGACAGUACCGGGAGAAUAAGCUCCGGCUAACUCCGUGCCAGCCGCCGCAGUAA